CGGAUUGCAGGCUGAAACCCGCCUGUAUGAAGUUGGAAUCGCUAGUAAUCGCGGAUCAGCAUGCCGCGGUGAAUACGUUCCCGGGCCUUGUACACACCGCCCGUCACACCAUGAGAGUCGGGAACACCCGAAGUCCGUAGCCUAACCGCAAGGGGGCGCGGCCGAAGGUGGGUUCGAUAAUUGGGGUGAAGUCGUAACAAGGUACC
rnacentral:rRNA from 1 species